AAAACAAUGUAUAUUUUCUACCAUUAUAGUUGCGAGUUAUAAAUAUGCCGUCAAAUAAUACGAAGGUGACACCAGAAGAGGCGCACCUACGCAAGGUGCUCGGUUUGCCAUCAAAGAUAAAUGUACGACUGCAAUCAGUCCAGUUACCGGGCAAUGAGCGUAUCCAUGUCAACCCAAUGGUGAAGGGGAAACCCUUGGUGGAAUCCUUCUUUCCUGGCGUCAACAAUUUACACGAUGUAUUCAAACAUGGCAUCAAACUGUCAGAUAAUGGUCCAUGUCUUGGAUAUAGGCCAAGUGGAACCCAGCCUUAUUACUGGGUUACGUAUGAACACGUUUAUGACAGAGCAAAGAGGUUUGGAGCAGGGUUAAUUUCCACGGGAUGCCCCGUAGGACAGAACUCACACAUUGGGAUUUAUUCACAGAACAGAAUCGGCUGGAACAUAACGGAACAGGCCUGCUAUAUGUAUUCUAUGGUAACUGUAGCACUGUAUGACACUCUUGGAAUCGAGGCAUGCACUCAUAUAAUCAAUCAGUGCGAGAUGACAACUGUUAUUUGUGACGUUGUUAAGAAGGCACACACACUGCUGGAUGUUGUGGAUAAGACGCCUUCGUUAAAACGCAUAGUGGUCAUGGACAGGUUCUCCGACGAGGAUGUACAGGCCGCAAAACAGAAACAGGUUGAACUGCUGGCUUUUCGCGAUGUUGAGAUACAGGGAGAAAACAAUCCACAUGAUUUGAAGUGCCCAUCGCCAGAAGAUACUGCUACUAUAUGUUACACUAGUGGUACGACAGGCCUACCUAAGGGUGCUAUCCUAACUCACAGUAAUUAUUUGGCCGUGAUUUCUGCGUGGAUGACAAUGAAAGGGGUGGACGUGGUUUAUUCGCCCAGUGAUGUCUACAUUUCGUACCUUCCGUUAGCACACGUCUAUGAACGUUUUGUCCAGGCAGUUCUGUUCUUACAUGGCUGUAAAAUUGGUUAUUUUCGAGGAGAUGUUAAAACUUUGAUGGAUGACAUAAAAGAGUUAAGACCGACGUUUUUAUGUCUGGUGCCAAGGUUGAUGAACAGAAUAUACGACAAGAUUAUGAGUGGCGUUGCUGCUAAAAGCUGGUUAGUAAGACGACUAUUUUUCUUUGCCUUAAAAAGAAAAGAAAUGGAACUACAAAAAGGAAUUAUCCGAAAUAACGGCAUCUGGGAUUCCUUUUUUAAAAAAAUGCGGCAAAGUCUUGGUGGACGCGUAAAAACUAUCACUUCCGGAGCAGCACCAAUUUCACCCCAAAUAAUGACAUUUUGUCGAGCUGUGUUCGGCUGUAUUAUAAUGGAAGGGUAUGGACAGACAGAAUGUACCUGUGUUACAUCGAUUUCACUGCCCACUGAUACUUCUGCUGGUCACGUGGGUUGUAUCGUCCCUUGUUUUGAGGUCAAGUUGGAAGAUGUCCCAGAAAUGGAAUAUUUUGCUGCAAAGAACCAGGGAGAGAUAUGCAUGAGGGGCCCUGGCGUAUUCAAAGGGUACUACAAAGAUCCCGCUAAGACUGCCGAAACAAUUGACAAAAAUGGCUGGCUGCACUCUGGAGAUAUUGGACAAUGGCUUUCGCGUGGCGAGCUUAAAGUCAUAGACAGAAAGAAACAUAUUUUCAAACUAGCCCAGGGAGAGUACAUCGCUCCAGAGAAAAUAGAGAAUGUCUACAUUAAAUCGAAAAUUCUCCCAGAAGUACUAACACACGAUAUGUUUUAAUUCCAGUCGUGCUUAGUUGGAAUCGUUGUACCUGAUGUUGAAACCAUGCCUCGAUGGGCGGAGUCGCGUGGUAUCACGGGAUCUUUUGAGACAUUGUGUACGAAUGGGGUAGUGAAACAAGGCAUUUUGGCGAGUAUGGUAGAUAUUGGCAAAGAGAGUGGCCUUAAAUCUUUUGAACAGGUUAAGGAUAUAUUUCUGACAAGUGAGAUGUUCUCGGUAGAAAACGAGCUUUUGACGCCAACCCUUAAAUCUAAAAGAUCUGUAAUGAAAAAACAUUUCGCUGACCAAAUUGCCGAUAUGUAUGCCAAGUUAAACUGAUGGAUGAAUUGUACUGAUGCUGGCAGUGUAACCAAUGCUAGCCUUGACCAACUUUACGAUGAAUUAUCAUAUCCGUGUCGUCUUGCUUCGCAAAUUGCGUUGCGCUUUUAUGAAGAAAGCUUUCGUUGUAUGUUGUUGUACUCUACCAAGUUUAAAUGUGGCGAAAUGCUGGAGUACAAGUGUGCUAGCAUAUAGUACACCUCAUACGUACCAAGCCAACUCUGUCAUUUUAUAUAUUUAUGGUGUUGUCUAAUUGUCUAUUUGUAUAAUUAUAAGCUUGUCGUGUAAACGAUAUAUGAAUCGGGGACAUCAGGGAAACUAUAUUAUAAUAUCUCAGUGGUGAAUUUUAUUUUUAUAAUAUUUCAGUGAUACAUUUUACUCUCGUAUUUUUUUUUAUUUCAUGUGAAACUUACAAACUAAAAUUUUAAACUAUUUUGUAUAUAUGUAUGGUCGAUUUUUGUUAUAAUAUUCGUUCAACUGUGCUAACACAUUUACUAUCUGAAUCUUGAAUAAUUCUGUAUUUUUAUACUGUCCAUU